rnacentral:rRNA from 1 species
UACGUAGGGUGCGAGCGUUAAUCGGAAUUACUGGGCGUAAAGCGUGCGCAGGCGGUUUUGUAAGCCAGAUGUGAAAUCCCCGGGCUCAACCUGGGAAUGGCAUUUGGGACUGCAAGGCUGGAGUUUGGCAGAGGAGACUGGAAUUCCUGGUGUAGCAGUGAAAUGCGUAGAUAUCGGGAGGAACACCAGUGGCGAAGGCGGCGACCUGGGCCAAUACUGACGCUGAGGUGCGAAAGCGUGGGGAGCAAACAGG